AGUCUUAUAGUUUAUUAAAAAUGUUAAAUUGCAAGUUUAAAGAAAAGAAAAUUUAAGACUU
rnacentral:tRNA from 1 species